GAAAUAAGAAAUUCAAGAAUAAGCUUCUAACUUAAUUCUUUAGCGAUGAAAUUCGUUAUUAUUUCU
rnacentral:tRNA from 1 species